rnacentral:rRNA from 1 species
UACGUAGGGGGCUAGAGUUGUCCGGAUUUACUGGGUGUAAAGGGUGCUCAGGUGGGUUUGUAAGUCAGAGGUGAAAUCCCAAAGCUUAACUUUGGUGCUGCCUUUGAUACUGCAAGUCUGGAGUUUGAGAGAGGGUAAUGGAAUAUCUGGUGUAGCAGUGAAAUGCGUAGAUAUCAGAUAGAACACCAAUGGCGAAGGCAGUUACCUGGCUCAAUACUGACGCUAAAGCACGAAAGUGUGGGGAGCAAACAGG